rnacentral:lncRNA from 1 species
CACCUUAGGAUUUUUCUCACUUUCAACAUUUUCUUCAACUACCUUCGGUCAUUCAACACUUGCCUUAUUAGGAUUUGGAUCAUCAUUAUUUGGAUCUUCUAGCCACUUUCUCUUUGCAUUGGUUUGAUCAUCAUUUGCCUUUUCAUUGGGGUCUUUACCAAGAUCAACAACAUCUUUACCAAGAGUCUGACCACUCCUAGUGACAAUAGUCAUAAUAUGAGAAUUAUUUUUAGGAUUGAC